CUUGACACGUAUAUGCUGACUUGCUUUCAUGAGAUGUAUAUAUACAGAGAGAGAGAGACAUGUGAGUGCAGGACUCCACCGUCCCCACCGCUUCACCGCCCUACAACGGCGAUGAGUGAACUCCGCGACCACUGAACUUCACCGCCCUACCAGCUGAAGACGGUGAUGAUUGGAAUACUCGGUUCUGCGACCAGACUCCUCCCUUGCCACCUCCUACUUAUCUCUGCCCUACCAGCCGAGGUUGAACCAGUGGUAAAAAAAAUGAGGUGGAGGAGGAUAUAGUGGUUGCUCAUAAAAUCAAGGCAGUUUCCAUUCUCAUGUCUUUCUGAGGCUGGCCGGAGAGUCGAAGUAUUAAAGAGAGAGGGCUACUACUGGACAAAUUAAUUAGACUACGCACUGCCAAAAACAACCACCCAAGUCUGUAUUUUACGGAUAAUGAAAGGUGACAAAUUUGUUUUUUGGUUCGACAAAAUGGAUGGUGUAGACAUCGAUGUUACCCAUAACGCUUCACCAUUUGCGCUCAUAAACGAUUAUGUUUUUAGAUAAACGAUAGAAGAUUUUCAUUUAAUGAAUACAGAUAAAGAGAAAGGCGUCAAUCAUAGGCAAGGAAAGGUUGAUGCACGUCUCAACAACACCAGCCAACCUCUAAACAACACAGUGUCUUGGCAAUCCCUCCUACAACGCCUAACCCCAAGAUUUACCAGACAAAACGUUCGCCAGUUCGGUCACCAGAUACAGGCUUGGGUAGACACUAUUGGUUCUGACGAGUAGGUGAGUGUUUUACACAUAAUCCGGUCACCACAGAACUCCGAGCCGUCGAGUAAGGUAAAUCUGACCAUUUCAAGUUUGAGUUUGUUUACAGAAGAUUCAGUGAAAUGAUAUUUGUACAAUAUAAGUGGUAUAGUGGUUUAGAUAAACCCUUGAGCUGCUUUUCUGAUACACUGUGGUGAGUCAUAGGCUUUUAAAUCUACACGUGUCUUGCACUCUUCUAAACUGAUGCUUAGCCUCAUUUUGAAAUGAGAGAGAGAUAGAGGUGUUGGUAAGGGUACGGAGGAACUGCGAUAGCCGGCCACCGUCGGAAGUGUUCCGGCACAACGGCGAAGAUCUUUCUGGUGCUUUCAAAAUGGAAUGCGGAUAGAACGAUGGUAACAACGGCUUUUGCUAACGAAGGACUGUGGGAACUUUUUCAACAGCAGAGGUUUGAACUUUGGUUACUCCGACGACGUCGGCAAGACAGAGUCAAACUACAUUGGUUCCUAGGCGCCUAUGAUCGGCUCUGCUCAGUACCUCUGCUAAAACGCCUCGAGAUGUGUUCAUCAGAAUCCCAAAUCAUCCCAAGUUUUAUCAACAAACAAGUUUAGGAAUCACAUGAAGAACAUCAAGACUGAAAAGCCGGCCAAUGAGUCGUUGACUACCAUGUUGAAUCGUGUAAUAGAUAGAUUUAAACAGAAAAAAACGAUCAUCGCUACACCACAGGGGCUAUUGAUGUUCUUGGGAAACUAUGGCUUGACCUGAACUUUGGAGCCCGGCCCGUAAAAAAGAAUGAUUCAACAGCUGGUUGAGAAUGAUAUUUCAUUGUGGAUACUACAAAGAGAUUUCAGUCGAGAUGAUAGUAUUAUUAUUGACAUGUCAGCGGCGGUCAAGAAUGGUAUUCAUAUAGGAAAUUGGAGAGGGGAGAGGACAUGGUUGCAAAUAAUUGAAUAAAGGACGUGUGAGCUGUUAAUAGAUGAUUUUAAUAUUAAUAGUUAUGUUCAGGUGUAGCAUUGAACACUGUUUUUCUUAUGGAACUAUAUAGUUACUGACUGCGUAACACUCUAUUUCCAUGCGCAAGGAGUGAUGUAUUUUUAGUUUUGAUUUGGUGUGUUAGGCAGGUCUGUUUAUUACAAAGUGUACCAAAACUUGUCUUUGGCUUACAGUGAGGUUUUAGCAAAACAUGCCGGAUAACUAAGGACAACCGAAGAAGACGACUUCUCAAAACAAUUAAUCGGAAUCGAAAUCCUUAAGUUGUUACGCCGCCGCAACGCGCGGCGGGUAAAAACUCUAGUUACCUUACCAAAUUCAAUCUGUUUUGUACGCAUGUAUGGUUGUAAAUUGUGCUUAACUGGUUGUGCCCUAAUCAAAUAAUGGUUUCAUUAUCUUACCAUGUUCAAUCAGUUUGAUCCAUUCAAAUUUGUGUUGUUUUAUUUUUAAAUUAUUAUUAUUUAUAAUAAU